CCUAUCUGGACGGUGGUCAUCCCAGGGAGAUGCAUCGUGUGUCUGGGGAGAGCUCAUGCGGAGGAGGCUCUACUGGACCGGAGCGCCCUCUCAGGGUGAGGACAUGCCUGGGAGAGUGUCCUGACCGUAGGGUGCGGUAGUUGGGAGAGUGUCCUGACCGUAGGGUGCGGUAGUUGGGAGAGUGUCCUGACCGUAGGGAGUGGUAGCUGGAAGAGUGUCCUGACCGUAGGGAGUGGUAGCUGGGAGAGUGUCCUGACCGUAGGGAGCGGUAGCUGGUAGCUGGGAGAGUGUCCUGACCGUAGGGAGCGGUAGCUGGUAGCUGGGAGAGUGUCCUGACCGUAGGAAGCGGUAGCUGGUAGCUGGGAGAGUGUCCUGACCAUAGGGAGCGGUAGCUGGUAGCUGGGAGAGUGUCCUGACCGUAGGGAGCGGUAGCUGGGAGAGUGUCCUGACCGUAGGAAGCGGUAGCUGGUAGCUGGGAGAGUGUCCUGACCGUAGGGAGCGGUAGCUGGUAGCUGGGAGAGUGUCCUGACCGUAGGGAGCGGUAGCUGGUAGCUGGGAGAGUGUCCUGACCGUAGGGAGUGGUAGCUGGUAACUGGGAGAGUGUCCUGACCGUAGGGAGCAGUAGCUGGUAGUUGUACUUGUGUAAAAGUAAAGUAAUGACUAGCCAUUUAACUGACUUGAAUGACAAAGAAUGUUGUAUUGUGUAAUUUC
ensembl:lncRNA